CGGAGAGUUUGAUCCUGGCUCAGGAUGAACGCUGGCGGCGUGCCUAAUACAUGCAAGUCGAACGAGGAGCCUUGACACUUGUAUUCGUACUCGUGUUAGGGAUUUCCUAGUGGCGAACGGGUGAGUAACGCGUUGGUGACCUGCCCCAAAGAGAGGAAUAACAGCUCGAAAGGGCUGCUAAUACCUCAUGUGGUCAUGAGAUUUAGAAACUCAUGUCUAAAGGAGUAAUCCACUUUGGGAGGGACCUGCGUCCCAUCAGCUAGUUGGUAAGGUAACGGCUUACCAAGGCGACGACGGGUAGGGGACCUGAGAGGGUGGCCCCCCACACUGGAACUGAAACACGGUCCAGACACCUACGGGUGGCAGCAGUAGGGAAUAUUGCACAAUGGGCGAAAGCCUGAUGCAGCAACGCCGCGUGCGCGAUGAAGGCCUUCGGGUUGUAAAGCGCUUUUCUGAGGGAAGAGGAAGGACUGUACCUCAGGAAUAAGUCUCGGCUAACUACGUGCCAGCAGCCGCGGUAACACGUAGGAGGCGAGCGUUAUCCGGAUUUACUGGGCGUAAAGCGCGUGUAGGCGGUUUGGCAAGUCGGAUGUGAAAGCUCCUGGCUCAACUGGGAGAGGUCGUUCGAAACUGCUAGACUAGAGGACGAUAGAGGGAGGUAGAAUUCCUGGUGUAGUGGUGAAAUGCGUAGAUAUCAGGAGGAAUACCAGUGGCGAAAGCGGCCUCCUAGGUCGUUCCUGACGCUAAGACGCGAAAGCAUGGGUAGCAAACGGGAUUAGAAACCCCGGUAGUCCAUGCCGUAAACGAUGCGAACUUGGUGUCGGUGGUGUAAAAACUGUCGGUGCCGAAGCUAACGCGAUAAGUUCGCCGCCUGGGGAUUACGGCCGCAAGGCUAAAACUCAAAGGAAUUGACGGGUUCCCGCACAAGCAGCGGAGCGUGUGGUUUAAUUCGAUGCUACGCGAAGAACCUUACCUGGGCUUGACAUACUGGUGGUAGAGAACCGAAAGGGGAUCGACCCUCCGGGGAGCCAGUACAGGUGCUGCAUGGCUGUCGUCAGCUCGUGCCGUGAGGUGUCCGGUUAAGUCCGGUAACGAG
rnacentral:rRNA from 1 species